rnacentral:tRNA from 1 species
GCCUCCGUAGCUCAGUGGAUUAGAGCACUUGUCUUCGGAACAAGGGGUCGUAGGUUCGAAUCCUAUCGGAGGUACCA